rnacentral:rRNA from 1 species
GACGAACGCUGGCGGCGUGCUUAACACAUGCAAGUCGAACGGAAAGGCCCUGCUUUUGUGGGGUGCUCGAGUGGCGAACGGGUGAGUAACACGUGAGUAACCUGCCCUUGACUUUGGGAUAACUUCAGGAAACUGGGGCUAAUACCGGAUAGGAGCUCCUGCUGCAUGGUGGGGGUUGGAAAGUUUCGGCGGUUGGGGAUGGACUCGCGGCUUAGCAGCUUGUUGGUGGGGUAGUGGCUUACCAAGGCUUUGACGGGUAGCCGGCCUGAGAGGGUGACCGGCCACAUUGGGACUGAGAUACGGCCCAGACUCCUACGGGAGGAAGCAGUGGGGAAUAUUGCACAAUGGGCGGAAGCCUGAUGCAGCAACGCCGCGUGUGGGAUGACGGCCUUCGGGUUGUAAACCGCUUUCGCCUGUGACGAAGCGUGAGUGACGGUAAUGGGUAAAGAAGCACCGGCUAACUACGUG